UACGUAGGGUGCGAGCGUUAAUCGGAAUUACUGGGCGUAAAGCGUGCGCAGGCGGCGCGUUAAGACAGGUGUGAAAGCCCCGAGCUUAACUUGGGAAUUGCGCUUGUGACUGGCGUGCUGGAGUGUGGCAGAGGGAGGUGGAAUUCCACGUGUAGCAGUGAAAUGCGUAGAGAUGUGGAGGAACACCGAUGGCGAAGGCAGCCUCCCGGGCCAGCACUGACGCUCAUGCACGAAAGCGUGGGGAGCAAACAGG
rnacentral:rRNA from 1 species